rnacentral:rRNA from 1 species
GUGUCAGCAGCCGCGGUAAUACCGGCAGCCCAAGUGAUGGCCGAUAUUAUUGGGCCUAAAGCGUCCGUAGCUGGCCGGACAAGUCCGUUGGGAAAUCUGCUCGCUCAACGAGCAGGCGUCCAGCGGAAACUGUUCGGCUUGGGACCGGAAGACCUGAGGGGUACGUCCGGGGUAGGAGUGAAAUCCUGUAAUCCUGGACGGACCACCGGUGGCGAAAGCGCCUCAGGAAGACGGAUCCGACAGUGAGGGACGAAAGCUAGGGUCUCGAACCGG